GCCAGAUGUAUGCCUGUAAUCCCAGCACUUUGGGAGGCUGAGGCGAGCAGAUCACUUGAGAUCAGGAGUUCGAGACCAACCUGGCCAACAUGGUGAAACCCCAUCCUGGGCGUUGUGGCACGCACCUGUAAUCCCAGCUACUUNNNNNNNNNNCGCCUACUGGGUUCAAGCAAUUCUCCUGCCUCAGCCUCCCAAAAAGUAGCUGGGAUUACAGGUGCGUGCCACAACGCCCAGGAUGGGGUUUCACCAUGUUGGCCAGGUUGGUCUCGAACUCCUGAUCUCAAGUGAUCUGCUCGCCUCAG
rnacentral:SRP_RNA from 1 species